UUUUACAUUUAGAAUGGUUUCAAUUAAGUGACUAGAAUGACACCGUUCUAUUCAAAUAGGAAUAAUGCCGUUUUAAUUUAUUUCGAUCACUCCUCAUGCUCACCUCAUUUCUUUCUUCGUUCCCUUCAUCGGUUUGCUUCAUUCUUCCACACGGCUCAGUCAGGCAUACACACCUCAGCUCUCAACCUCUCAAGUCUCACGAUUCUCCUCUCACAUUGCACGACGCCACGGUUCACAGUCACUCCGCUGUAGAUUGCUUCACGCUGCAAUGCCUUCUUCCUGUCGUUUUUGCCAACUGGUACUUUGAAUGACCGAGUACGGUGCUGCAGAUGAUGUUUUUCUUUUUAAUUGAAGCAAUAUAUUUAUUCUUAUGGGCCGUUUAAUCAAACUUUGAAAUUGACUGUUAUUUCUAUUAUCAGUUGUUUAGGAAUUUCUAAAUUAUGUGUAAUUAUAAUAAUUAAUUAUACAGUCUAAUGUGUUCAAAUAGAUUUGAGCUUUUGAGAUGAAAAUAUUGUCACUAA